CAGGGAAAAAGGUUAUAAGAGCUAAUACUUUUUAUAGUUUGAUGGUACCUGCAGAGGAAGCACCGUCUAACUACGUGCCAGCAGCCGCGGUAAUACGUAGGGUGCAAGCGUUAUUCGGAAUCACUGGGCGUAAAGGGCGCGCAGGCGGUCUUGUAAGUCUAAAGUGAAAUCCUUGGGCUUAACCCAUGGGCUGCUUUAGAUACUGCAAAACUCGAGUUCGGGAAAAGCAAGCGGAAUUCCUGGUGAAGGGGUGAAAUCCGUAGAUAUCAGGAAGAACACCAGUGGCGAAAGCGGCUUGCUAAAACGCAACUGACCCUUAGGCGCGAAAGCGUGGGGAGCAAACAGGAUUAGAUACCCUGGUAGUCCACGCCCUAAACGAUGGAUGUUAGGCGUUGGGAAUUACACUUCUCAGUGCCGUAAGCUAACGCGUUAAACAUCCCGCCUGGGGAGUAC
rnacentral:rRNA from 1 species